rnacentral:lncRNA from 1 species
CUAUAUUUUCCAGAACAUAAGAUAUUUAGUCAGAAGAGUGGCAAUAUUUUAAAAUUUUGCAAAUCUUUUUAAUAUCUGGCUUGCUAGAAGACAACUGGAUUCUCAUAUAUGCCUCAUGUUCAACCUGUUGGGAUAUGUUGUUUUUGUGAUGUAUAUGAAAAGAAAAUAACUUCACAUAGAUAUAUAGUUUGAAAUGGGAAUAGUAUUUUAAUAGUCUUUUCAAAUAAUUGUGGAUAUUCUUUUUUACUGUUACACAAAAACUUGACAAGUGAUAGUUUCUCAAAAGUUAGUUGUGAUGUUCAAUUUGAAACCAUAUCAAUAAACAAAAUUUUUUCAGAGAUUUGUUGAGAUAUAACUGACAUACAGUAAGUCACACAUAUUUGAAAUGUACAAUUUAGUGAGUUUUGACGUAUAGAUACAUUCAUGUGUACAUCACUAAAGUCAAGAUAAUAAACAUUUUUAUUACCCUCGAAAGUGUCCCUGUGCCCCCUUAUACUCCAUUCCUCCUUCCUAUGUUCCCCCAACCACUCCCAGGCAAUCACUGAUGUGUUUUCUGUCACUAUAGAUGACUUUACGUUGUUCUAUAAGAGCACUGCCCAAAAGAAAUACAACAUGAGCUACAAAUGAAGAAGGAAAUAGACUUCUCUUCAGGGUACUACAGCCGAGGAGAACAUGAGCAUUGUGAGUCUCUGGAGAGGCUACUGAAUAACUCUGCGGCGAAGCCCACAGAGCUACUGCAGAGGAUGGAUGUUUCCCUCUGAGCAAAGCAGACACGAUCAUCAAAUCUGCUUUGCCAAGUAUUUAUUUGAAUCUUCAUUUCAAGGCUGAGGAAUCAGUAAUUCACCAGAAAAGAGAAAAAGAAUUAAUUAAACUAAAUCUAAGCCAUCUUACAUAACAAAAUACCACGAAAUAGCUUGUAUAAGAACUGCUGGGGUCUUUUCUAGAACUUGUUAAUUUGGUCUUUUGGUGAUCACUACUGGCCAACAAACCUACCUAUUACACCAGCGUAGUAUUUGUACUUUGUAGAGGAAAUUCAGAGAGGGCUGAAGAGAAAAACAGUAGAGUAAGUCCUGCCAACUAAAUAAAAUGGCGCCUGUCACAACA